GAUCUCAGUGACCAUGUGGGUGACCUGACUAACCCUUUGUUUUUUGUGGGUUUUUUUUCAGAUAAGUGGACACAAUGUACCCCAGACCGAGACCAGUUGAAGCAGCCUGGUAAGAAGAUGGGGCCCAAUCAGGCUCGAGGCGUAGCGGCUCAGCAGGGAGACGAGCGAGGCGAUACACAACCCUUUGCCCGU